UAAUUCUUUGCAGUUUACCUGGGGCAGCUCCCACCAGCCCGGCGCACAGCACAAUCACCAUGAGCAGCAUCAUGAUAAAUCUUGCUGUGGUACAAAUCUGCAGAGACACAAGGAGUUUACCUGAGUGUGGAGGCAUAUCGGACACCAUCAACGGUAACUGAUGCACUGAAGAACUUGUCAACUACAACAUGACUGUACGUGGGUCCUUUCAACUGGUUCCGAUACACAUGUGUCUGAAAACAAACAAACAGAA